CUUACAAAAACUUUCAUAGGAACGGUCUACUUUUGGAUAGUGGGGGAUACCUGUCGAGACCGAAAGGAUUUUACGCCUGGAGAUUUCCAGCGUCUGUAGUUCUGUGUUUUACUGUAACACAGAUUGAAACCAGCAGCUCCGAUGUUCUGGGUACCACAGGGAUGUGGCUGCAAGGGGAUCAAGGCUAGGAACUCAAUAUCCAUGGAUACGUAUCCAACUAAAAGGGCAGGAAAACUAUCCCAAUCUGCCGUAUUAAAGGAUUGCCAAAAGAAGCAAAAGUGAUGUAAGGAAGAACUGGUGGCAUUCAGAAGGGAACGAAUUCUUAUCUGAAGAGGAGCAAUCUGCAGGGUGACAUGAAGAUUGAUGGGUGCAAUUAGCUGAGUUGGCCUCAGAGUGUUGGUGACACACAAUGCGCUCUGCUCCUUCUCUGCUGAAACCUUUCUACAAUUCUAUCCCUGCUUUCUCAGGCUAGAUGUUAUGGGGAAGGCAUAUUGCGUGCCGUCUGUUCAACAACACCCCUUCCCCCACCCACCGUAAUAAAAGUCUACCACCAGAUUGUAGAAAAAGCCCCCCAGGUACCUGGUGACACCUGGUGAGUGAUCCAAUCAAACAAAGCAUGGGCUGAUUGGCCCCAGUGCAUCAGUCCCAGUAGUACCCAGAGCUCAGUGUUGGACAUUACUGAGAUUGUAAGCCCAUGAAGGAGAGUGUGAUGGCUCUCAGAUCCUGGAAUCCCUGGGCCUUUUGACCAGGUGGUGGAUUGGUUUCCUGAGGGAAGGGGUGUGGGUGGUGGGAUUGGGUUUUGCAGAGCCAGACAGGGGAUGGAAGGUGGGAGGGACUAACCCCCCCCCCCGCACAAUGGGCAUCCCUUGGCCAGUAGGAUUUUCAGGUCCAUUUUGGUAUUUUGGUAACAGGGCAGCACCUGUUAAAGCUGGCCUGGUGAGGACCCAGGGAAACUUGAAUCCAAGCAUGGGACUGCGGUAGGCCGAGUUUGUAAAUGUGACAGUGUGGAUAGAGGCCAUUCGACCCAAAGAGCACGCACCAUCCAAAGAGUGUCCCACGCAGGCCAUUCAGUCCAUCAAGCCCACACCACACUCUGAAGAGUAACUCGCCCUAUCCCUGCAACCCUGCAUUUUCCCUUGGCUAACCCACCUAGUCUACACAUCUUUGGACGGUGGAUUGGAAGCCGGAGCAUCCGGAGGGUUCCACACAGACACAAGGAGAAUUGCAAACUCCACACAGUCACCUGAAGGUGGAAUCGAACCUGGGUCCCUGGCACUGUGAGGUGGCAGUCCUAAUCACUGAGCCAUCAUGCCACCCUAAUGCCUGAGUGCACUACCUGAGAGGUUACCUUACAACCUUUAAAAAAGAACGUGAAUUUGGAUCAGAAAUGUCUGAACAGUCAAUGCUAGGGGCCAAGUGCUGAAAACUGGGCUGAGUUGAGAUGAGUUGGCACAGACUUGAUUGAAGGUCCUCUUCUGUGCUGUAUAAUAAUGUGGAAUGUUGUGUAUCAGAAUGAGAUAUUGUGCUGUAAAUGUGAAGCAGUGAAUGUGGGAAUUGGCUUGUAAGUUAUGUUCUCUUAAAGGAUAAGAGAAUUUACAAGAGAGAUUUUAAAGAGAGUUUACGAGAAUGCAGUUUAAAAAUGAAAACGUGGUUCAGUGGUUAGCACUACUGCCUCACAGCACCAGGGACCUGGGUUCGAUUCCAGCCUCAGGCGACUGACUGUGUGGAGUUUGUACGUUCUCCCUGUGUCUGCGUGGGUUUCCUCCGGGUGCUCUGGUUUCCUCUCAGACCAAAGAUGUGCGGGUCAGGUGGGUUGGCCAUGCUAAAUUGCCCAUGGUGUCCAGGGAUGUGUAGGUCAGGUGGAUUAGCCUUGGGAAAUGCAGGGAUACAAGGAUGGGGUAGGGGGGUGGGUCUGGUUGGGAUGUUUUUCAGAGGGUCUGGGAAGACUCGAUGGGCUGAAUGAUGCGCUUCCACACUGUAGAGAUUCUAUGAUUUCAGGCACCCAUCACUCUCUGCGUAAAAAAUGUUUCCCUUAAAUCCCCUCUGGAUCCCAAGUGUGCUUUUACCUCCUCGACACCCCAUGUGGGACUUUGCAAAUCUAUUUCAACUACAACCCAAAAUAUUACACACUGAUUGUAUGACCCCACUAUAUCAUACACUGUGAGCCACAAUAUCCCAGUAUUAUGUAAAUUCUAUUGGACUGCACCUUUAUAAUAUUAACUGCAUCAUUAUAGCAUUGUCGCUGUAUAUAAGUCAUACUAUUAAAAUCAGCAAAUGACCCUCCUACUAAGUAGCUACCUUACUCCGUCUUCACAGCACAAGAUAUCAGAGAUAAAAAGGCAAAUUAAAAUAUGUUAAGGGAAGGAACCAACUAUUAUUGAUGCACAGAGAAAUUAAUGAGAUUAAAGAUCAUCAAAUCUCUAGGACACAUGCCUUAGAGUGAAUGAGGAAUUAUUGAUGACAUAAAGAACUCUUUCUUGAUUCACGAUUUGUGCCCUUGGAUGGGAAAGUUAUUCCAUUAUUGCUAACUUUUUUAACAAUCCUAUUUUUAUUCAUUUUCACUCUGUCCAUUAUCCCUGCAAACACCUAUCUUACAGCAACAUUGAUAACCUUCUCUCUACAGAAGGCAGGUGCAGCUACUGAGUUAGCAUCUUGGUCCUUGUCCUGAGUCAGCUCUGCCCUUCCUUUAACCACCCCUUGAGUGCCCAUGUCUUUAUAAAAAGUCUUUCAGCUUCCCUUUUGUGCUGACUGCUAAUCUAGCCUCACGUUCUGUUUGUCGCGUGACAUCUUCACACUUUCGAUAUGCAGCUGGCUUCGCUACAACUUGUGAAUCGAACAAAUCUGCAGCUGAUCCUGAGCUGAGUAAAGAGUCUCGGUGAGUGGCUGCAGUGAAUAACACAACACUGCUGCUAGAUUCUCCCUAGUUUGAGAUGAUCAGUGUUUAAUCCUUGUGUAGAACAAAUGUUACUUGCCACUUAUCAGCUCAACCCGAAAAUUUGACUUCUCCACCUCCUGACACUGCCUGGCUUGCUGUGUUCUUUCAGCCUCCAUACGGUCUACCUUGGAUUCCAGUAUCUGCAGGGUUUUUUUGUCUGUAAUUGAUCAGCCCAAGCCCAGAUUUUGCUGUAUACGGACCUGGACUGUUACAGUAGUGAGGAGUUACAGAUGGUGCUGAACAUUGUGCAAACAUCAAAACAACAUUCCCACACUAGUGUUCGUGGUAUUGAUGGUUUGUAAGUUUGCUAUUUGUCCUUCAGUCACAUGUAUGAUACUGAAUAUCUAAUUUUCACGAAACUAAAGAAAAUCUUCAAUUGGGUAGAUGGAGAGAAACUAUGUCCUUUGGGGGGGGGUUCCAGAACCGGAUUUGGGAAACAGCUUUCAAAAUACAGGGGGGGUGGAUACAUUAACAGCAGAAACACCACAAAAUACCCAGGAAAUUCGAUCAUGAGACGAUCAAUAUGAUCACAGGGGGACCGAUCUAAUCAUGGGACGAUCAAUAUGAUCACAGGGGGACCGAUCUAAUCAUGGGACGAUCAAUAUGAUCACAGGGGGACUGAUCUGAUCACAGGGGGACUGAUCUUAAAUACGGGGCAAUCUUGGGAUGACCAAUCUGAUUACGGGGGGAUCAGUCUGACCACAGGACAAUCAAUCUGUUCGUGAGGUGACCAAUCUAAGGAGGGAGCAGUCAAAUUACCUGAAGAGCUGUUCCUUCAAUCACAGACAGGUUCGCUCCCAUGCUUGUUGCUGAUAGGCUAUAGUGAGCCUAUCAGUUACAAACAGGAGAGAAGCAGUUGGAUUCCUGAAGAAGGUUUAGACUGGAAACAUUGACUUCUCCAACUCUUGCUGCUGCCUGGCCUGCUGUGUUCCUCCAGCCUCCUGCGUGUUUCCUUGUGAUUGGAGGAGUAAGUGAGGCUGUAAGGUCUGGGUGGUGGUUGUGGGAUAGGGACAGAGGCUGCAAGUUGGAGAGCAGAGCUUCAGAGGGAGUGAGGGAUGACAAUGUGUGGAGGGACCUGUAAAGGUUAGUGAGAGACUGCGCAGGGGAGUGAGGCAGCUGUUAGAGACAAACAUGGAAACUGUCUACCUUCAAUCUCACUGGUCUGGGGCAUGGUGUGUUUAAGGCAAUGGCUUUUUGUGUUCAGAAAUGCGUGUUGAUUAUUUAUUUUUGAAAUAAGACCUUUCUUGCUAACAUAUAUGCUUUGCAUCGAUUAUCUCAUGUAUGGUGGCUUUAAUUUUAACAGAGUAGUAAUGGUUAUUGAGAGGGAUUCAUCAGGACCCUCAAUCUGCUGAUGUCUGUGUCUAUGUAUUCCAAAUGUUAGCAUAAACUUAGAAGGUUUACUGUACAACUACAUCACCUGACAAAUGAGGUAAUGAGGAUUAAAGAAGAGCCCUGAAAACAAAACGCAGCCCUGAACAUAACUUCAAAAGGGACCCUCGACAGAAAAAGAUCAAUCAGCCUUCAGAGAACGUUUCCUUGAAGUUAGAGCUGGGCUGUUCAGGGUGAUGUCAGGAGGCACAGAGGAAGUGGGAAUCUGGAACCUUUCCUCCUGAAAAUACUGUUGAAGCCGGGGAUUGAUGGAAAGUUUUGACCCUGAGAUUGUGUAAUAAAAACAUAUCCAAAGUUCUCCAAUUUCAGUGCUACGUUUAGAUAGAGAUCACAAGAAUUAAAAUAGCAUUAGGCCUCUUGGUCCCUCAAUUCUGCUCUGUGCUUGGUAAAAGGAGGAACACGGCACCUACAGGCAGAGUCAAAACAAUGUGAAACUUGAAAGGGUUCAGAAAAGGUUUACAAGAAUGUUGCCAGGAUUGGAGGGUUUGAGCUACAGGGAGAGGCUGAACAGGCUGGGGCUGUUUUCCCUGGAGCGUCGGAGGCUGAGGGGUGACCUUAUAGAGGUUUACAAAAUUAUGAGGGGCAUGGAUAGGAUAAAUAGGCAAGGUCUUUUCCCUGGGGUGGGGGAGUCCAGAGCUAGAGGGCAUAGGUUUAGGGUGAGAGGGUAAAGAUAUAAAAGAGACCUAAGGGGCAACAUUUUCGCACAGAGGGUGGUAUGUGUAUGGAAUGAGCUGCCAGAGGAAGUGGUGGAGGCUGGUACAAUUACAACAUAUAAGAGGCAUCUGGAUGGAUAUAUGAAUAGGAAGGGUUUGGAGGGGUAUGCGCCAUGUUGAAGGACUUCCUCAUAAGAACAGCAGACAGCGCUCAACUCAUCAAUUCCUAGUUCUGACCUGCCACAGCGAAAAUCCACAAUAACCUCCCCACAAAACAGACCCUAAGACAUAGGAGUGGAAGUAAGGCCAUUCGGCCCAUCGAGUCCACUCAAUCACGGCUGAUGGGCAUUUCAACGCUACUUACCUGCACUCUCCCCAUAUCCCUUAAUUCCUUGCGAGAUUAAGAAUUUAUCAAUCUGUGCCUUAAAGACAUUUAACGUCCCGGCCUCCACUGCACUCCAUGGCAAUGAAUUCCACAGGCCCACCACUCUCUGGCUGAAGAAAUGUCUCCUCAUUUCCAUUCUAAAUUGACCUCCUCUAAUUCUAAAGCUGUGCCCAUGGGUCCUAGUCUCAUCGUCAAACAGAAAUAUCUUCCCAGUGUCCAUCCUUUCUAAGUCAUGCAUUAUCUUGUAAGUUUCUAUUAGAUCUCCCCUCAACCUCUAAACUCUAAUGGAAUACAAUCCCAGGAUCCUCAGCCGUUCAUCAUAUGCUAGGCCUACUUUUCCAGGGAUCAUCCGUGUGAAUCUCCGCUGGACACGCUCCAGUGCCAGUAUGUCCCUCCUGAGGCGUGGGACCCAAAACUGGAGACACUAUUUUAAAUGAGGCCUAACCAGAGCUUUAUAAAGUCAGCAACACAUCGCUGCUUUUACCUUCCAACCCUCUUGAGAUAAAUUACAGCAUUACAUUUGCUUUCUUAAUCACAGACUCAAUCACAGACAUUGGACAUGACCAAUUGGGUAUCCUUCAUCAUCCAGUCCCUCCCCAGUGUGGAGAAACUACACCAUGUUCUUCGCACCCUCACCUUGAUAGCUUGUUAUGACCUCUCUACCUUAAUUGGUUUGUAGAGUUUUGGAUGACUUGCUACUUUGGUUAGACCCUCGCCAUGAGAUUCCUAUACCUAUCGCAUUAUUCUGGCCAUUUGGUUUGUUUCCAGUUCCACCUUAUUUUUAAUGUUUUGUAAAUAUCUCUCUGCCUCAGUUAAUGAGAUUAUAGGUCGUCCUUUCACUUGUUAUUCUGCUGUUGACACUUGACUCACACUGUCCGACUCCCCUGAUCACCUGCAGAGUCUUCUAUUCAGCCUGGUGACACUCCACUCACACCAUCUGUACAACCUUUUGUUCCCUGCGCCGGUACAAUAUGUGCCUGUGUGCUCAUUAUACUCCAAAAGCUUGUGAUUUCAAAUAAACCUGUUGGACUAUAA